AAUGGAAAGACAGUAUUUCCACAUGUAUAAUCUGUCAGCAGUCCUUUAGAAAGUGACUUUCCCUUCCUUCCAAACUUGCAAUUCAGUAACUGCAAAUCAUAGACAUAAUUGAGGAAACUGGUCCCAAUCCCAGUCCCAUUUGCUUAGUACUCCAAUGCUUCUGACUCUGAUACUGCGUAGGUUCUCUGAGGUUGUGGAUUAAAUAAAAAUGCAAUAAACAUCCUUUUUUCCUAAGGGAAUCUUGGAGGGGAGGAACUGAAAGGAUGGUCUGGAUGUAUUGAGUGCUUGGAAGAAAAAUAUACCAUCUUGAGUAAGAGAAUGGCAUACUGAGAACACUUGGAAAUAGAACUGCUAGUUCCAAUAUUCAGGUCUGUUCGAACCUAUGAAUGCCUUGAAAAUAGUAAUCGGGAAGACUUGGAAGUAAAACUGACCUUUCAGCAGUUGAUAAUUUCACAUUUGUUUGAAUUAGACUCUUCAAAAGUGUUGCUUCUGUAAUUGGAACAAAUGAAGUCCGGCUAAAUCUAUGCGGAGUUCCUGUUUUUAACAGCUCUCUGAAAUGCCUUCUUUUGACUCAGCCAUGUAUCUGAUUGUCAGAACAUGACUUUUGGAAAAGUUUAAGGGAAAAGUGAUGGAAGUCUGCCAUGGAAUUAGCUGCUAAUUAAUCAAAGUUUGUAUAAAUUUUUGGUUCAAACAGGCAUCUGAUCCUCCUAGUUAUUGGGACGGAGAGAUGAGAAGAAUCAUCCAUUUUUCACGCAGCCCUGUUUGUCAUGUUGUUUCCCUCACUGCUGGGGAAAAGGGCACCAACCUGUUCAGAUGGCUGAAGCGAGGGAUGUUUAUUAAGCUCGGCAGGUUAAUUGAA